CUGCUGUCAUUGGCAGCAAAGAUACUGAAAUUGAAAUGACACAGAGAUUAACAUGGCCCUUGUGCAAGGAUGACAUGCAAAUUUGUGAAAGGUUCCAUAUAAUA
ensembl:snRNA U6 U6 spliceosomal RNA